rnacentral:rRNA from 1 species
AUUGAACGCUGGCGGCAGGCUUAACACAUGCAAGUCGAACGAGUGGCGGACGGGUGAGUAAUGCUUGGGAAUCUAGCUUAUGGAGGGGGAUAACUCCGGGAAACUGUAGCUAAUACCGCGUACCAUAGGAUGAACCCAAGUGGGAUUAGGUAGUUGGUGAAGUAAAGGCUCACCAAGCCGCCGAUCGCUAGCUGGUCUGAGAGGAUGACCAGCCACACUGGGACGGAGACACGGCCCAGACGCCUACGUGAGGAAGCAGGGGGGAAGAUUGCGCAAUGGGGGCAACCUGACGCAGCCAUGCCGCGUGAAUGAAGAAGGCCUUCGGGUGGUAAAGUUCUUUCGGUAGCGAGGCGUUAACUACAGAAGAAGCACCGGCUAACUCCGUGCCAGCAGCCGCGGUAAUUC